GGCAAAUGCUGUCUUCUCGGCAGGAAGUGCAGAGAGGCAAACAGGCAGACUUCGGCGUCCCCGUCAAGCAUUCCUUCCUGCUUUAACGCGAUCAGCUGGCGUGGCCGUUGCCUGGUGCUGAAGUCACUCUGUCUUCAGGGCAAAUCAGGACAGGAAGGAGCAGGAGAGGGAGCACAGCAGAGUUCUCCUGCAGCUACCUGGGAUAACCUGGGACACUGCACUAAGUGGGUCAGCAAUCUACACCAUGGAAACUUGUGAAGAUGACAGGAAGUUGGACGCGAAGGGGACUGAGUAUGGCUACCCCAUCACUUGUGGAGACAGUAGGGCGAUACUCCUCUUUAAGAAGUUUGUGUGUCCUGGGAUCAACGUCAAAUGUGUCCAAGUAAGUUUGCUUUAAUCUGUAGCAUUAAUUAGAGCUACAAUUUUCUUACAUUUUUUGAUUCUGCACACAUCUCUUUGAGAUUUGUGAGUCCCUCUUAAAACAGAUUUCUUGUUCACUUUUACUCGCAAAUGUUUUCUGAAAGCUUAAGAGCUAAAAAAACAUCUGUUUUUAUUAGGGGAGUGUAUUGGCAAGUCUGACGAUGCAAUAUGUAUGUCAAUACCCGUCUCACACUAUGAGACGGGUAUUGACAUACAUAAAUCGUGAUACAUAUCAUGAUAUAUCCCAAGUCUCUACCAGAACAAUUUUUCACUAUUUAC